UUAGGUUUGGUUUGAGAUCUGUGGUCAACUCGGGUCGCAGUUGAUUGUGCAUUCUGAUAAAAUGACUGAUUUUUUGACAGCCUGAGCGGAAAAGAUCAUCAGAGUCAAGUAGGGAUAAAUUUGUAUACAACUGAUCUUUUCUGUAUGCCGGUGCUUGAAGUAGGGUAUCCAUGAAGAUGAGAAUGGUUUUGUUGAUGAAUGAAUAACUUGAAACACCUGCAUUUGAAACAUGCGAGACCUUUCCUGCGCGCGAAUAACCGGAGAAACACGGAUACUUUCAUUGCUCAUUGAGUGCUUUUGGGACUCUAGUGCUAUUUGAGGGACCCAAAGGAAGCUUCCGUAGCUGAAAAUGUUUAAAGUUUAAGAAAGGGGCAGGCCACCGAAUUGGGUGCGACUGGCAUGGCAGACCUAUCGCAAUAAAAAGGAAUGUAUGAGGGUUGCGAAUUAAUGACUGAAAAGUAAAAUAAACACUCUAUCUUUUUCUAGAAAAC